AAUAUUUAGUCAUUUGGUUGAAUGACUGAACCAGCCAUGUCGAGUGAAGGAUGACGGCCCUAUGGGUUGUAAACUUCUUUUGUAUGGGAAGAAAAGCAGUUACGUGUAUUUUGUCUGCCGGUACCAUAUGAAUAAUGAUCGGCUUCCUCCCUGCCAGCAGCCGUGUUAAUACGGAUGAUCCAUUUUUUAUCAGGAUUUAUUGUGUAUAAAGGGUGUGUAGGCGGCUUUUAUAAGUCAGUAAAGAAAUCUAGAAGCUCAACUUAGAACGUGCUAUUGAAACUGUAGAGCUUGAGUACAGUCGAGGCAGGCAGUAUGUGUUGUGUAGCGGUGAUAUUUUUAAAUAUAACACAGAACACCGAUAGCGAAGGCAGCUUCCCAGACUGUAACUGACGGUGAGGCAAGAAAGCGUGGGGAGGGAACAGGAUUAGAUACCCUUUUUUCACGCCGCG
rnacentral:rRNA from 1 species